rnacentral:rRNA from 1 species
GAUGAACGCUAGCGGCAGGCUUAAUACAUGCAAGUCGAGGGGCAGCAUGAAGUAGCAAUACAUUUGAUGGCGACCGGCAAACGGGUGCGGAACACGUACACAACCUUCCUAUAAGUGGGGAAUAGCCCAGAGAAAUUUGGAUUAAUACCCCGUAACAUAAUGAUGUGGCAUCACAUUAUUAUUAUAGCUUCGGCGCUUAUUGAUGGGUGUGCGGCUGAUUAGAUAGUUGGCGGGGUAACGGCCCACCAAGUCUACGAUCAGUAGCUGAUGUGAGAGCGUGAUCAGCCACACGGGCACUGAGACACGGGCCCGACUCCUACGGGAGGCAGCAGUAAGGAAUAUUGGUCAAUGGACGCAAGUCUGAACCAGCCAUGCCGCGUGAAGGAUUAAGGUCCUCUGGAUUGUAAACUUCUUUUAUCUGGGACGAAAAAAGGCUAUUCUUAGUCACUUGACGGUACCAGAUGAAUAAGCACCGGCUAACUCCGUGCCAGCCGCCGCAGUAAUAC